UACGUAGGGUGCAAGCGUUAAUCGGAAUUACUGGGCGUAAAGCGUGCGCAGGCGGUUUUGUAAGUCUGUCGUGAAAUCCCCGGGCUCAACCUGGGAAUUGCGAUGAGACUGCAAGGCUAGAAUCUGGCAGAGGGGGGUAGAAUUCCACGUGUAGCAGUGAAAUGCGUAGAGAUGUGGAGGAACACCGAUGGCGAAGGCAGCCCCCUGGGUCAAGAUUGACGCUCAUGCACGAAAGGCGUGGGGAGCAAACAGG
rnacentral:rRNA from 1 species